GUUUUGCAUUUGUUUUAUUAUUCUAGACUUUGUCGUAAAUUUAGGCAUAAGUGUUUUACACGGAUUAUGUGUCAUAAUCUUGGACAAAGAUCUUAAAUGCAUUUACUCUAUUUAUUUCAUUAUUUAAUUCUCUGUGACAGUUUGGACUAUAAUUUACAAAUACGUGUCGGACACUAAUUACUCUUUUAAUCUAUUGUUAUUUCUAAUUUGUCAUCUGUUAAUCUGCUUAAUCCUUUAAUUGUUUAUGCUUAUAUACAUUGUUAUUGUUUGUAUGUUACAUGACAUUUAGUUUGGAGUUUGUUGUUCAGUCUUGCCGGACUGCUGAAAUAAAAGUUUAAGGAGCGAAUCUUCCUUCUUGAUUUACAUUUAGUCGAAUAGCCAUUUCCCCCGGCUAUAUCUGGUGUUAGGACGUACGGGCAACGGAUCUUUCGGAUACCUUGUUCUACCUGUGAAGCUGAUCCCCCAGCAAACAGAAAAAUGGAUACGCAGAGAACCAGAAAUUUUGGCCGAAACUGGAGAUACCAGAUGUCUGAUAAUGGAGCUACCUUUCAGACCAGAAAUUCAACACAACAUAUGGACAACUGCCUAUGUAAGUUUUGUGGAAAGACUGUGAACAAUCAAUUUCAUUUUAGACAAUGUAUAGCAAAAACGUCAUUUUGUUAUAAGUGCAGAAAUUUUGGACAUUACGCCAGAAUGUGUAACUUUCAUAGACGACCGGACGUGAAAGUUGUCAAAGUUAAAUCGAAAUCGAAAUUACGUCGCGACGCAGAAAGGAUGAGGAUAUUCAAAGAAAACAAAGCUAUGUCAAUUUUUCCUUGUGCGGAACUUACUACUAUUGAACUGAUGGAUUUCUUUCCCGC
rnacentral:lncRNA from 1 species